rnacentral:rRNA from 1 species
UACGGUAGGGCGCAAGCGUUGUCCGGAAUCACUGGGCGUAAAGGGUGCGUAGGCGGCCUUUUAAGUCAGUGGUGAAAGCCCAUAGCUCAACUAUGGAACUGCCAUUGAUACUGAAAGGCUUGAGUACAGACGAGGUUGGCGGAAUGGAUGGUGUAGCGGUGAAAUGCAUAGAUACCAUCCAGAACUCCGAUUGCGUAGGCAGCUAACUAGGCUGUAACUGACGCUGAGGCACGAAAGCGUGGGGAGCAAACAGG